rnacentral:lncRNA from 1 species
AUCUGUAAUAUGCAUUUAUAUUUCAUGUGGUUCCCUAUAGACCAUGAUGGACAGAGAAAAGCACCUUCCUUACGUGAAAAGUAUCAACUCGUUUCUGCUCUUCAGCAUUGUGGAGAAGGUUCUUUAACAGCUGCAGAAAAAUCAAGAAGACCCACAGGCAAAUUUCGAAGAAUGCAUGGCUAAUUUACAAACAAGGGGGAAACAGAACGUUGAGAAACUCAGCGGCUCCAAAGACUGCAGUAGAUGGGAAACAAUUCGGAAAGCGGCCUCCACGACUUUCAGAGAGCGCGUGCCUCGUUCGGCCUCCUACGCAGAAACCCACAGCAGAAUGUGCGCGGCGAACACGUGGCCGCGCUGCCGUCGCUUCCCCCGAGUCCUUCCACGCACAGGAGGGUCCUUGACCAAGCACAGGAGGGUCCCAUCGCACACAGGACGGCUCCUCUGCUGGGCUCCUUCGCGAUGCUCAGGGAUCUCAAGACGGAGCAUGUUGGAGAAGCAAGUGGUCAUCACAAGGCCCCUGGGUCCACGGAGGAACCUCUGCAGGAGAUUCUGAAAAUACACUCUCACAUACUCAACUGACUGGAUGAGAAUGCAUCCGGCCGGACGAAGGAGAAGCAAACCCACAGAAAGAAAUCCCCACAAACUGUCUUCCAGAAUGACCACGCCGCAGCCUCCCAAGGUCGCCUGAUCCCCUCCGACUCUGUAACAAGCACG